rnacentral:rRNA from 1 species
UGGGGAAUAUUGCGCAAUGGGCGAAAGCCUGACGCAGCGACGCCGCGUGAGGGAUGAAGGUUUUCGGAUCGUAAACCUCUGUCAGAAGGGAAGAAACCGCACUGUGCUAAUCAGCAGUGCCUUGACGGUACCUUCAAAGGAAGCACCGGCUAACUCCGUGCCAGCAGCCGCGGUAAUACGGAGGGUGCAAGCGUUAAUCGGAAUUACUGGGCGUAAAGCGCACGUAGGCUGCUUUGUAAGUCAGGGGUGAAAUCCCACGGCUCAACCGUGGAACUGCCUUUGAUACUGCUUAGCUUGAAUCCGGGAGAGGGUGGCGGAAUUCCAGGUGUAGGAGUGAAAUCCGUAAAUAUCUGGAGGAACAUCAGUGGCGAAGGCGGCCACCUGGACCGAUAUUGACGCUGAGGUGCGAAAGCGUGGGGAGCAAACAGG